UAUAGUGCUCAUCGUUAUUUUUUUGGUCGAUUGUGUCAGUGCCAUUUUGUCAGUGAUUCUUAUAGUCUUCUAUUUGGAGUUUUCUUCUGAAAAAUCUCAGUUUGAAGGAUCAUGUAGAUUUCCUGUUUUGCUUGUUUAUACCUGUGCAGUUGAAUAUAAAAUAUUAUGCAGUUGCAUUGUUUGAACACCAGAGGUCGCAAUCCCACUAGUGCAGGCAAAAGAGCCAGUGGGCGUAAGCAAAGAGCAUUCUUUAGACCAGGUGCAUUUUUCUUUGUUUAUACACCUAAGAAAUAAUACAAUAUGUUCUUCUAUAUCUUGUCUUUUCAAAAUUAGUUCUAAAUA